GUGGGGCGCGGCAUACGGCUCAGUAACACGUGGCUAACCUACCCUUAGGAUGGAGACAACCCCGGGAAACUGGGGCUAAUACCCAAUAGGUGAGGAGGCCUGGAAUGGUUCCUCGCUGAAAGGACGCUGGGGCCAUGCUUCCUGGCGUUGCCUAAGGAUGGGGCCGCGGCCGAUCAGGUUGUUGGUGGGGUAACGGCCCACCAAGCCUAUAACCGGUACGGGCCCUGAGAGGGGGAGCCCGGAGAUGGGCACUGAGACAAGGGCCCAGGUCCUACGGGGUGCAGCAUGCGCGAAACCUCCGCAAUGCGCGAAAGCGUGACGGGGUUACCCCGAGUGCCGUCCGCUGAGGAUGGCUUUUCUCUGGUGUAAGGGGCCGGAGGAAUAAGGGGAGGGCAAGUCUGGUGUCAGCCGCCGCGGUAAUACCAGCUCCCCGAGUGGUGGGGACAAUUAUUGGGCUUAAAGCGUCCGUAGCCGGCCUGACAAGUCUUCCGUUUAAAUCCAGCGACCUAAUCGUUGGACUGCGGGAGAUACUGUUGGGCUAGGAGGCGGGAGAGGCCGGCGGUAUUCUCGGGGUAGGGGUGAAAUCCUAUAAUCCCGAGAGGACCACCAGUGGCGAUGGCGGUCGGCUAGAACGCGCUCGACGGUGAUGGACGAAAGCUGGGGGAGCGAACCGGAUUAGAUACCCGGGUAGUCCCAGCUGUAAACGAUGCGGACUAGGUGUUGGGGAGGCUACGAGCCUCUUCAGUGCCGCAGCGAAGGCAUUAAGCCCGCCGCCUGGGGAGUACGGCCGCAAGGCUGAAACUUAAAGGAAUUGGCGGGGGAGCACCACAAGGGGUGAAGCUUGCGGUUUAAUUGGAGUCAACGCCGGGAACCUUACCGGGGGCGACAGCAGGAUGAAGGCCAGAUUGAACGUCUUACCAGACGAGCUGAGAGGAGGUGCAUGGCCGUCGCCAGUUCGUGCCGUGAGGU
rnacentral:rRNA from 1 species